rnacentral:rRNA from 1 species
CAGCAGCCACGGGAAUACAGAGGGUGCGAGCGUUAAUCGGAUUUACUGGGCGUAAAGCGUGCGUAGGCGGCUUCUUAAGUCGGAUGUGAAAUCCCUGAGCUUAACUUAGGAAUUGCAUUCGAUACUGGGAAGCUAGAGUAUGGGAGAGGAUGGUAGAAUUCCAGGUGUAGCGGUGAAAUGCGUAGAGAUCUGGAGGAAUACCGAUGGCGAAGGCAGCCAUCUGGCCUAAUACUGACGCUGAGGUACGAAAGCAUGGGGAGCAAACAGGAUUAGAGACCCCAGUAGUCCCUGUCUCUUAUAC